rnacentral:rRNA from 1 species
CCUACGGGGGGCAGCAGUGAGGAAUAUUGGUCAAUGGACGAGAGUCUGAACCAGCCAAGUAGCGUGAAGGAUGACUGCCCUAUGGGUUGUAAACUUCUUUUAUAUGGGAAUAAAAUGUUCCACGUGUGGGAUUUUGUAUGUACCAUAUGAAUAAGGAUCGGCUAACUCCGUGCCAGCAGCCGCGGUAAUACGGAGGAUCCGAGCGUUAUCCGGAUUUAUUGGGUUUAAAGGGAGCGUAGGUGGAUUGUUAAGUCAGUUGUGAAAGUUUGCGGAUCAACCGUAAAAUUGCAGUUGAAACUGGCAGUCUGGAGUACAGUAGAGGUGGGCGGAAUUCGUGGUGUAGCGGUGAAAUGCUUAGAGAUCACGAAGAACUCCGAUUGCGAAGGCAGCUCACUGGACUGCAACUGACACUGAGGCUCGAAAGUGUGGGUAUCAAACAGGAUUAGAUACCCGGGUAGUC